rnacentral:rRNA from 1 species
AAUAGAUACCCGGGUAGUCCACGCCGUAAACGAUGAGUGCUAAGUGUUAGGGGGGUUUUCCGCCCCUUAGUGCUGCAGCUAACGCAUUAAGCACUCCGCCUGGGGAGUACGGUCGCAAGACUGAAACUCAAAGGAAUUGACGGGGGCCCGCACAAGCGGUGGAGCAUGUGGUUUAAUUCGAAGCAACGCGAAGAACCUUACCAGGUCUUGACAUCCCAUUGACCGCUAUGGAGACAUGGCUUUCCCUUCGGGGACAGUGGUGACAGGUGGUGCAUGGUUGUCGUCAGCUCGUGUCGUGAGAUGUUGGGUUAAGUCCCGCAACGAGCGCAACCCUUGUUCUUAGUUGCCAUCAUUUAGUUGGGCACUCUAAGGAGACUGCCGGUGACAAACCGGAGGAAGGUGGGGAUGACGUCAAAUCAUCAUGCCCCUUAUGACCUGGGCUACACACGUGCUACAAUGGACGGUACAAACGGUUGCCAACCCGCGAGGGGGAGCUAAUCCGAUAAAACCGUUCUCAGUUCGGAUUGUAGGCUGCAACUCGCCUAC